UGUUGCCCCCCCUCCACGACGAGUUGAGAAUGACGCAUAACAAGACAAAUUUCUAUUGUUUUUAAUGAAAGUUUAUUCCACCUCACAAUUAUGUUGCUACAGUACCAGAUCACACUGGGGAAGGAAGUUGUUGAGUAGAAGCGAGAUAUAUGCUGUUCUCGUUUCAUUGUUCGGCUCCAGACUAAGCGUUGUGCCCAACCAGCAGCCAGCACCCAACUUAGCGUAAUGCAAGAAAAUAUCCCACCAUGACGAUAAACUCGAGCUCGGACACGUUCUCAAAAAAUCACAUCCCUUGGUGUUUUUUUUUUUUUUCUGCUGUACAUAAUACGUUUGACAAAUUCGAGCGGGAAGCUGUGUUUCUUUUAUUUGUUUUGUAUUUUUUUUAGUUUUUCUGUCUGUUGGCUUGUUUAUAAAUUGAUUUCCAAUAAAUAUAUCCUACAUGCUCUAUUUCGUUGUUUUCGUCUGAACAAUAAUUCGUCUCAUGCUAUGAAUAACAACGUCCUAUGUAAUCUAAAGGGUGUUUCCACUCUGCACUAUUUAUUAGUCAUGACAUUUGACAUUUGUCAGGGUUGUGGGUUUGGACUCAUCGUAUGUUACUGCGCUCAUUCGAAGGAAAACUCCCCCUAGCUAUCAUAUCCGUCUAUUUCCUUAAGACGAUAUCCACUGCCCAGUUUUCAAUGGCCUGUGCAAUAUUGAACUUGUGAAUGCUAGUGAUACAAGUGAAUACUAAGGAUGAAUAGAGUGCUCGAUGUGUGUUUAGAUGUAGGACCACACACGCCCUUCUCUCAUGCUGCUUAGCCGCACUUUAAAACUAAUAAGAACCCGCGCGAGACGCCAUUUUUUUAAUUUUUAUUGCAAAGCAGGCGCACCUUUUUUACAAUGCCGGUCAUCUUACUAAAGCGCAUACAUCCAGGAAAACAACAAGAGAAAGGUUAGAGAGAGAGACACUGAGGUCAUGCAGUGUUUUAAUCCGGCUUUCGGAUCCCUUUUUGGGUAAGGGACUAAGGGCAUUCAAGUAUUAAAGAUGA